GCUCACGUCCGGCCCCGCCCAGCCCGGCCCCCGAGCGGCGCAGGCACCGGGGCCGCCGCCGCUCCGCCGCCUCGGGGCUCGGCGACGCCGCUCCCUGCCGCCCUCCCUGAGCCGCAGCCCGCGCCCCGGAGCGGACAGCUGCUUAGCACAAGCUGAUUUGCCCUAUAUGACUGUUACGUACUUCAGAAUAACUGUGGCUGACGCAGACAGAACACAUGCAUCCACUUCCAAAAUCUGCCUGAGAAAAUAGAUUAUAUCUGCUGUUUGCCUUUGAUUAAUGAGAUUUCCUUAUGCGGUCAUGUAGGUGUGUUUAUUUCAGCCUUAAAAUUGCUGAUGCAAAUCCUUGCUAUGGCAUCUGUGGCUUCACCAGUUAUAUUUAAGGAAUUUUGUCCCUUGUAUUAUCUCCUCAAUGCCAUUCCUACAAAGAUCCAGAAAGGCUUUCGCUCUAUUGUGGUUUACCUCACAGCACUUGAUACCAAUGGAGACUACAUUGCUGUGGGGAGCAGCAUUGGAAUGCUUUAUCUCUACUGCAGACAUGUAAACCAGAUGAAAAAAUAUAAUUUUGAGGGAAGGUGUGAAUCUAUAACUUUUGUAAAGCUGUUGAGUUGUUUUGAUGAUCUGGUUGCUGUUGGUACAGCCUCAGGUCGGGUUGCAGUUUUCCAGCUUGUGUCUUCGUUACCUGGAAGGAACAAACAGCUUCGCAGGUUUGAUGUUGCUGGCAUCCACAAAAGCAGCAUUACAGCUUUAGCUUGGAGUCCCAAUGGAAUGAAAUUAUUCUCUGGAGAUGACAAAGGAAAAAUUGUCUACUCUGCACUAGACCUAGACCAGGGUAUUUGCAACUCCAGCCUUGUACUGGAAGAGCCAUCUUCGAUUGUCCAGUUGGAUUACAACCAGAAGGUGCUGCUUGUCUCUACUUUACAGCGGACUCUGCUUUUUUACACAGAAGAGAAAUCCGUCAACCAAGUUGGAACACAGCCCAGAAAAAACACUGGCAAAUUUGGAGCAUGUUUUAUACCUGGCCUGUGUAAACAGAGUGACUUGACACUAUUUGCUGCCAGACCUGGGCUUCGUCUGUGGAAGUCUGAUGUUCAUGGGACUGUUCAGGCCACAUUCAUAUUGAAAGAUGUAUUUGCUGGAGGAAUAAAAACUUUUGAACUGUAUCCUCGUUUAGAACCACCUGACAGAGGAAGUUACAGCUCUCCAGAGAAACACCUUGGGCUUGUGUCAUGCUUUUUCCAAGAAGGAUGGGUGCUGACCUGGAACGAAUACAGCAUCUAUUUACUAGACACUGUGAACCAGGCUUUGAUUGGUGGCUUGGAAGGAUACGGUGAUAUUGUGUCUGUGUCCUGUACCAACAAUGAGAUUUUUCUCUUAAAGGGAGAUAGAGACAUUAUAAGAAUUUCAAAUAGACCUGAAGGACUGUCAUCAAUAGAUACAAGUCCUAAAUUGCUGACCCCAUCAUCAGUAGUUUCAUCUGUAUCAUCCAGCCCUUCAGUGGAAACAGAAAAAAAAAUGGUUACUUCUCCUUCAGCUACUGGUGAUAAAAAUGGCACUUCUUCAGUGAAAGAUGAUCUGGAAACUCCAACACUAUCAGAGAAAAGUUUUGAUAGAGUGGGAGACUUGAGCACUGAAGCCAGGAAAAGGGGCUGCUCUGUAGUCAGUGAAUCACGAAGCAGGAGCAGCUCUGUGAACUCCGUGGACAGUGGCUCAAGCUUUAUGAUGUGUCCAGACCAACUUCCAGAAGCUCAGAGAGAAGGUCAACUUUCUUCACAACGGUUCAGCACCAUCAGCUCUGAAGAUUUUGAUCAAGAACUUAUUGUAAAGCCAAUUAAGGUGAAAAAGAAAAAAAAGAAGAAACAGGAAGGUGGAACAAGGAGAAACCACAGCUCUCUGGAAGGCACACCAAUUUAUGAGCGUCAGCUUUCUGGUGACAGUCCACAUUCCUUGAAUGCAGACUCCUUUUCCAUGACUUCCAGCAUAAUGAGUGGCAGCAUUGAUCAUUUGAGUACUGGGUCUCCAGAUCAGGAAAGUAUGUUCAGCAUGGAGUCCCAUACAAUCUUGCAAGAAGAUAACGGUUCAGAAACUUUCAGUGUCCUGCAGUCUCCUGAGUCAGCAAACGUACUGAUUAAUGAAGAAAAUGGAGAUGUGGCUGAUUUACAGAAGCUUCCAAACAGUGACAGUGGCAUGGGUACUUCAGCUGUUAUAGAUACUUUGACAUCUGCAUCUCCUCUGAUGCUUACAGAAGACUUGACAAGCAGUGUUGGUGGUGAAUGUAAUGGUGGUGUGGUUUCUGCAAGCAAUGAAUGCUGUCCUGGAAAGCUGAGCCAGGAGGAGGAGGAGGAGCAGGAUUUUCCUACAUUGUGUAAAAUAGAUGAAGACUUGGAUAAAAUGAAGCUGCAGGAGACUGAAAAAUCUUCUGAAGAUCCAGACCUUACAGACCAGAUGUUUUUGGAAUGUGACAGUAUACUUGGUGUCCAGACAUCUCUGACAAAGGAAAGUGAUGAAACUGGUGAGGAAGACCAACAGCAGCUCUCUCUAAUCCACAGCGCUCUGUCAGACCCUUCUGCACUCCAGUGUGACAUCUCUGACAAUGUUCAUUCAGAUAACUCUUCCAUUUCUGGGUGGAAUUUUGAAAGUGCAAUCAAAGCUAAGUGUAGUUCUAGCACUGCUGAAAGGGUAGCAGACACUCAUGAAAGUAGGACUGAAAAAUCUGCCUCAAGUGAUGAAGAGGAUAUUUAUGGACAUGGAUUGCCAUAUUCAUCCUCUGAGACCAGCAUGCCUGAAGUUGGUGCUGUGCCUGGUGCACAGGAUGUAGCCAAGAUAAGCCUAGAUGAAAUGGUGCUCUUAAAAUCUGAUCAGUUUGCAGAGAGCUGGAUGGGAUACUCUGGCCCUGGAUAUGGCAUCCUGAGCCUGGUUGUCUCAGAAAAAUACAUUUGGUGCCUGGACUACCGAGGCAGCCUGUACUGCAGUGCCCUUCCUGCGGCCGGCCUGCGCUGGCAGAAGUUUGAGGAUGGAGUCCAGCAAGUGGCAGUUUCCCCCUCAGGGACUCUUCUCUGGAAGAUUGAACAGAAGACUAACAAAGCUUUUGCUUGUGGAAAAGUAACUAUAAAAGGAAAACGGCACUGGUAUGAGGCUUUACCCCAGGCUGUAUUUGUGGCUCUAAGUGAUGACACUGCCUGGAUUAUCAGAACAAAUGGAGAUCUGUAUCUGCAAACAGGCCUGAGUGUGGAUCGUCCUUGUGCCCGAGCAGUAAAGGUUGACUGCCCUUAUCCACUGUCACAGGUCACCUCCAGAAAUAAUGUGGUGUGGGCUCUGAGCGAGCAGCGGGCCCUGCUGUACCGCGAGGGCGUGCGCAGCUUUUGUCCUGAGGGAGAGCAGUGGAAGAGUGACAUUGUCAGUGAAAUGCAAGCUUUGGAACCAGUGUGCAUAACCCUCGGCGAUCAGCAGACACUGUGGGCUUUGGAUAUCCAUGGCAAUCUCUGGUUCAGGACUGGUAUAGUUUCAAAGAAACCACAAGGAGAUGAUAACCAUUGGUGGCAAGUAAGCAUCACUGAUUAUGUCGUGUUUGACCAGUGCAGCCUGUUCCAGACCAUAAUCCAGGCAACUCACACGGUGGCAACAGCAGCUCAGGCACCUGUGGAGAAGGUGGCUGACAAGCUUCGAAUGGCAUUUUGGUCACAGCAGCUUCAGUGUCAGCCCAGCCUCCUUGGAGUUAAUGGCAGUGGAGUCUGGAUCUCUUCAGGCAAAAACGAAUUCCAUGUAGCAAAGGGAAACUUAAUAGGCACGUAUUGGAAUAAUAUUGUGCCUCGUGGUACUGCUUCUGCCACAAAAUGGAUUUUUGUGUUGGCUUCCCCAGCUUCGUCUAAAGAAGGAAGCUUUUUGUGGCUGUGCCAAAGCAACAAGGAUCUGUUUUGUGUCAGUGAUCAGAAUCCUCAUUUUCGUCCUUCUACGGUGCAGCUACCACCAGAGGCUGAAAUGGUGCACUACUCUGCCUGCCAGGAUGCCAUUUGGGGCUUGGAUAGUCUCGGGCAGAUAUUCAUCAGAACACUUUCCUCCAGCUGCCCAACAGGAAUGCAUUGGACAAAACUGGAUCUCUCCCAACUAGGUGGUGUAAAGCUGAUCAGCUUGACCUGUGGAAAUCAGCAUGUUUGGGCCUGUGACACCAAUGGUGGCAUUUAUUUCCGUGUGGGAACUCAGCCUCUUAACCCGAGUUUGAUGCUUCCCGCGUGGAUAAUGAUUGAGCCACCUAUACAGUUCUCAGCAGACGAGCACUGCUUGACUUCGUUUGCCAUAAAAGUGUCACCUGCAUUUUGUGUGCUUUAGGUAAGAGAAACUUUUGAUUUACUGCUCUUCCCAUAAACAGCCUGGUAAUUGUGUCUCUGUACUUUAAGCUUGAUAGGUAAGAGAAAUUCUUAUAGGUAGUAGAAAUUCUUAUCGAUGUAGGAGGAGCUAUUUUUUUAUUGCACACAGACUUCCAAAAAACUAAAUUAAGGCUUUUCAUGCUUUCACAGUCAUUCAAAAAAUUAUUAAAACUACGAAUCAAAUGGUAGUUUAAAAAUGCCAUUUAAAAUUUAGGCAAAUUAUCUGUAAUUCUGAAAAAUCACUACAGGAUAGAUUUAACUUCUUUUCAGUACCUCACAUUGAACAUAUGUCAAGAAAAGGUAAGGAGUUGGUUGUGCCUUAAAGAUGAGUGUUGACUUGUUAGAAAUGGUUAUCAUCAUCUUUGUUUUGUUUCCUUUAUUCAGAUAAAAUUCUGCUUAUCUUACAGAACACUCAUUGUGAAUCUGGGGACUUUCUUCUGCAUCUGCCUUGCUUUUGCAUUUCUCAGUGAGAUUUAUGUUGUUAUUAAGGCCAGUUCUGCAUUAAGUAGUACUUAGAGGAGGAAGUGGUGAGCAGCCCUCAAGUUCAUAUUUUGCCAUUAAGCUGAAAUGCAGGAAGGGUUUGUUUGGAAUGAUCUUCAAGAAUUGAAUAUUUAGAGGGGAAGGAAAUUUCACAUGCCUGUUCUUUCCAAGUCCAGUGGUUUUCACUAGCACAGACCAGCUUGCAUUUCUUAGCCAUUGCACAGACAUCUUCUGAGUUACCAUGAGUUCUGCUUUGGAGUGCUAAGAUGAGAUUCAGAGCAAGUAUUAAUUAAUUAAUUAACCAAAGUCUGCUUAGGUUGGAGAAAUAAUACAGUCAGUCAUUAGGCCUGGUUCUCUCUAGACCAGACUAACUAGUCUGUUGUUCUGUAUGUCUUCACUCAUGUGAGGCCUCUGAAGACAUUAAUAGGGAGAAGAUUUUCCUGGAGGACUGCACUUUUCAAGAUGAUGUAGAGAAAAGCUGUUUGGCAGUAGUAAGAGCAGCUGUCUCAAGCCAGUAGGAAUCAACUUGGUCAGCAUUCAAUCAAGUCCAAAUGAUCAGAUGUUGUGGGCAAUUGAUAGCAAAUGGAAUGUCCACGUACGAGUUGGAAUUACAGAUGAAAUGCCUGUAGGCACUGACUGGGAACAU